rnacentral:lncRNA from 1 species
UGUCUUCUUCUUCUCUCUCUAACUCUGCUAUUUUCGAUCUUCAUCUCUUCGAUGGCCGCUCCGAGUCGGAGCCUCCGACCACAACGACCACACCCACCUCUCUUAUCCCCUCUCUAAUCAUUUCAUCUUUUGCCAGUCACUUAAAAUUAAAAAGCUGUUUCUCACUCUCUCUUGAAGCUUCUCAAUCUGGAUCUGGCAUAUCGCUGGACCAUCAACCAUCGUCUUCUCUUUUUCCUGCACUUUCCCUCACACUUUCAGAUUGACUUUCCAUGCCGAGUUCAGUCCCUCUGAUAUCUAUUUAGAUCGCCAUGGAUUCUUCUUUUCAAAACCAAACAAGGCUACCUUUCUACUGUCAUCGCACAGAGUUGGUAUUCAAGAUUAUGAAUUUCCUAAAGCCAAGGUAAUUCUUUUAUUUCUCCAGGAGCAAAGCUCCACUUAAUCCCCCUUGCCUUGCCGUACCACUUUCAAAAAAUAGCUCAGUAUGGAUAUACUGGUAGUUGGGGUCAAGAAGCAUGGGGUGUGGCUUUUAGCAAAAAAUAACAUUGAUAAACCCCUCUAGUGAAAUGUCCUAUGCUGGGUUAAGUGAAAAAACUGAAUUUGAUGCAAGGGGGAAGUUACAGUAGUACAUAAGGUAGAAAGCCAGCAAUCUAUCCAUUUCUUUACAGCCGUUUCUUCUUUUCUCUUCUUUCAUCUGUUUAUCAGGUAUCAUGUUUCUGAUUGUUCUUCAUGGCUUUAUGGCGCUAUCAAAAAUUGCAUGUUGAUAUAUCCUUAGUCUUUACCAUGUUCUUCUAUAUAUUGCAUUUGCAAAUUACAAUGAAUGAAUUUUACAAGUUUUCAUUGAAAUUCAAUCAGUGACCCAAGUCUUCGAUGAAUUUUACAAGUUUUCAUGGCAUUAUGGCUCUGUCUGGUUAUAUGGGAUCUGAUAUGAUCACUUCUGAUGGGUAAAAUUAUUUUCUUUCUAUUCUUAAAAGAAUUGUGCAUCUGUAAUGCAUUUUUAGUUGUGUAUAAGAAGUGCAUUAUGCUUGCAAGGAAAGGAGCUUAUAUUGUGCGCAUUGAUUGAAAGAGGAACCACAGACAAUGAAAGGAAGGCAUUGAAGACCACCAGCUCUCCACUAGUUAAUAGAGUUUCCAAAGUUAGUGAUAGGUAAACAAUUGGGUUUUACUUUUAGCUGUGAGAAACUGAGGAAUUUAUAAUAUACUUGUUUCUUUUCCUCUGACGUAUAUGUUGAUUAAUGGACACGUGAGCUUCCAUUUGC